UGUCCCAUGGUGUAACGGCAGCACUCCUGGUUUUGGUCCAGUCAGUCUAGGUUCGAAUCCUGGUGGGACAA
rnacentral:tRNA from 1 species